GUUUCUACACACUUGGGUACAAGGUUGUAUGCACUCCAAAGGGUACAUCUACUAUGAUAAAUAUGGUAUGCUAUCUAUGCUAAUUGAAUAAAACAUUUACUAUGUUGUGCUGUUUUUGCUGUUGUGGGGUUUGUCUGGCUGCUGGAGAUGCAAGUAGUUUGGUUUAUGUAGUCUGGGUUUUUGGCUGUUUAUGGAUGUCUGUUUUGGGCCUUGCUGUUUUUUUCACCUUCAGAUCUGCAUUUCUGGUGUUGCUGUCAUAGUUUUAGGUUGUGGGGGGUGCAGAGAGCGCGUCCGUGCAGCUGUUUGUUGUUUUAUCAGGCUUUUGUAGUACCUGCUGGCCUGUUUUCGGGGGGCCGCAGCCAUGCCGGCCAUGUCGGAGGCGGGUUUUAGGGGUGUUUGUGCUGAUUGUGAGGCAGGGGUAUGCGUUUUUGCGGUCUCUUAGGGAGCGUACUUAGUCUUUUGGGCUACUUUAUUUUGUAUCCCUUUUUACUGUUCGUAUAUUUCAACCUCAUUAUUUGUAUUACCGUGUUGUAGCAUGUGUGCUAGGCACACCCCUUGGCUUCGCUUGUGUGUGGUUUGAGGUGUUUUGUAUGUGAUCCGUCUAUAUACGACAUCGUCUUUGUUGCCUUUUGUUUCAACAUUCACAUUGACUAUUAUUAUUUUUGUUCUUUUUAGUAGUUGGUGUUGAAGAUUUCUACAAAUAGCUUGCUCAUACAUAUGCAUCGUGUCAUGUAGGGGCUAAUCUUGGGUAGCGACUAUGAUUGUAGAUCCAUGACAAAGUGCUAAAGGAAAAUGAGGAUGAUGUUAUCAACACAAAUGAAGAGAAGUUCAAUGUCCACAAAUAUGCAAGUUUAUGGUAGUUUAGUCAAAGAACUUUGAUUUUGAACUUAUGUUGAAUUUGCACUAGGAAGUGUAAUGUCAUUGGAGAAUGUAUGAAUUAGUGACUCAAACUCAAU
rnacentral:lncRNA from 1 species